rnacentral:rRNA from 1 species
UGGAAGUAAAAGUCGUAACAAGGUCUCCGUUGGUGAACCAGCGGAGGGAUCAUUACCGAGUUUACAACUCCCAAACCCAAUGUGAACGUUACCAAACUGUUGCCUCGGCGGGAUCUCUGCCCCGGGUGCGUCGCAGCCCCGGACCAAGGCGCCCGCCGGAGGACCAACCAAAACUCUUAUUGUAUACCCCCUCGCGGGUUUUUUACUAUCUGAGCCAUCUCGGCGCCCCUCGUGGGCGUUUCGAAAAUGAAUCAAAACUUUCAACAACGGAUCUCUUGGUUCUGGCAUCGAUGAAGAACGCAGCGAAAUGCGAUAAGUAAUGUGAAUUGCAGAAUUCAGUGAAUCAUCGAAUCUUUGAACGCACAUUGCGCCCGCCAGUAUUCUGGCGGGCAUGCCUGUCCGAGCGUCAUUUCAACCCUCGAACCCCUCCGGGGGGUCGGCGUUGGGGAUCGGCCCUUUACGGGGCCGGCCCCGAAAUACAGUGGCGGUCUCGCCGCAGCCUCUCCUGCGCAGUAGUUUGCACACUCGCAUCGGGAGCGCGGCGCGUCCACAGCCGUUAAACACCCCAAACUUCUGAAAUGUUGACCUCGGAUCAGGUAGGAAUACCCGCUGAACUUAAGCAUAUCAAUAAGCGGAGGA